AUUGAACGCUGGCGGCGUGCCUAACACAUGCAAGUCGAGCGGCAGCGGGCCCGCAAGGGUGCCGGCGAGCGGCGGACGGGUGAGCAAUACAUAGGAAUCUGCCUCAGAGCGGGGGAUAGCCCGGGGAAACCCGGAUUAAUACCGCAUGAUGUCGAAAGACCAAAGUGGGGGACCGUAAGGCCUCACACUCUGAGAUGAGCCUAUGUCGGAUUAGCUAGUUGGCGGGGUAACGGCCCACCAAGGCGACGAUCCGUAGCUGGUCUGAGAGGACGAUCAG
rnacentral:rRNA from 1 species